GACCCAGGUCCCAGGGAAAUGUCCCUUAAGACCACCAGGGGGCGCCCGCCACCCAUUGGACGCUGCCAGCCCCAGCAGGCCCCAGAGCCAUUGGAAGCGGGUCUCAGACCCCAGAAGACGUGUGGGUCUGGAGGCUGCUGCUCAGACACCCCCUGGGCAGGGGGACGGGGUGGGAAAUACCCCUGGCCUUGAACCUGAGGGGUGAAAUGAGCCGCAAGGAGUAAGCGCCCUGCCUCUCCUGCGCUCCGACCCAGCAGGUCACAUGCCCUGGUCCCCUCACCUCCACGAUGCCAUUGUCCCUUGAGAGUCCAGAAGACAGAUGGACUAGCCCACCGUAAGGAAGGCCCACUUCAAGGGGUGGGGGAGCUCAGGCCCAGGAAUGCCCUGGGAUGUGCCAGCUCUGUUGCCCCAGAGGUGCCUGCCUGCGUCCGUCCUCCCGGCCUCUCCGUGCAAGGUCAUCGCUGUCGACCACCUGCACACCCUGAAAGAAUCGGGCGGGUGUGGCAGUCCUGAGAGUUCCAGGACCGAGGAGCCAGCCCAGUGGAGGGGCUGGGCUGUUCCUGCCCCACUGCACCUGGCGGGGACACUCCCUAGGACUACGAGGGAUCCUGACAGCGUCCCUGGGCCUCAGGAAGAAAGCUGCUGGGGUGGGGUCUCACUGGUGGGCUCCCAGGUCCCUGCAUCUGUAUCCCUCCUUCCAGAAGACUCCUGUCAUCUGUCCUCACUGGGUGGUCAGCCAACAACCCUGUGUCACUCUGGCAGGCAGCAGGGGAGACAGACAGGGUCUUUCCUGGUCCCCCGGGAAGACGGAUGGAGCCCUGGCCAGACAGAGAGGACAGGGCAGGGAUGAGAGCACAGAAGCUGGGCAGGCAUGGAGGGCUUCCUGUAGGAGGCAAUACCUGGCCCAGAUGGCCCCACCAGCCCCAAGAGGCCACAGCUUCCCUGGGGCUAAGGGACCCACCCCCACCUCCUGAGGAGGGCCACUUCAACAGGUAGGCACCAGCCUCAGCCUCUGUCCCAACCCCCCAG
rnacentral:lncRNA from 1 species